ACGCUGGCGGCAGGCUUAACACAUGCAAGUCGAACGGUAACAGGGAUUAGCUUGCUAAUCUGCUGACGAGUGGCGGACGGGUGAGUAAUGCUUGGGAAUCUGGCUUAUGGAGGGGGAUAACUACGGGAAACUGUAGCUAAUACCGCGUAAAAUCUUCGGAUUAAAGGGUGGGACUUUCGAGCCACCUGCCAUAAGAUGAGCCCAAGUGGGAUUAGGUAGUUGGUUAGGUAAAGGCUGACCAAGCCGACGAUCUCUAGCUGGUCUGAGAGGAUGACCAGCCACACUGGAACUGAGACACGGUCCAGACUCCUACGGGAGGCAGCAGUGGGGAAUAUUGCACAAUGGGGGGAACCCUGAUGCAGCCAUGCCGCGUGAAUGAAGAGGGCCUUCGGGUUGUAAAGUUCUUUCGGUGACGAGGAAGGUUGGUAGGUUAAUAGCCUAUCAAAUUGACGUUAAUCACAGAAGAAGCACCGGCUAACUCCGUGCCAGCAGCCGCGGUAAUACGGGGGGUGCGAGCGUUAAUCGGAAUAACUGGGCGUAAAGGGCACGCAGGCGGUGACUUAAGUGAGAUGUGAAAGCCCCGAGCUUAACUUGGGAAUUGCAUUUCAUACUGGGUCGCUAGAGUACUUUAGGGAGGGGUAGAAUUCCACGUGUAGCGGUGAAAUGCGUAGAGAUGUGGAGGAAUACCGAAGGCGAAGGCAGCCCCUUGGGAAUGUACUGACGCUCAUGUGCGAAAGCGUGGGGAGCAAACAGGAUUAGAUACCCUGGUAGUCCACGCUGUAAACGAUGUCGAUUUGGGGAUUGGGCUUUGAGCUUGGUGCCCGUAGCUAACGUGAUAAAUCGACCGCCUGGGGAGUACGGCCGCAAGGUUAAAACUCAAAUGAAUUGACGGGGGCCCGCACAAGCGG
rnacentral:rRNA from 1 species